ACGAUAACGNGCGUCGAGCGGCGGACGGGUGAGUAAUGCCUGGGAAAUUGCCCUGAUGUGGGGGAUAACCAUUGGAAACGAUGGCUAAUACCGCAUAAUAGCUUCGGCUCAAAGAGGGGGACCUUCGGGCCUCUCGCGUCAGGAUAUGCCCAGGUGGGAUUAGCUAGUUGGUGAGGUAAUGGCUCACCAAGGCGACGAUCCCUAGCUGGUCUGAGAGGAUGAUCAGCCACACUGGAACUGAGACACGGUCCAGACUCCUACGGGAGGCAGCAGUGGGGAAUAUUGCACAAUGGGCGCAAGCCUGAUGCAGCCAUGCCGCGUGUAUGAAGAAGGCCUUCGGGUUGUAAAGUACUUUCAGCAGUGAGGAAGGGGUGUACGUUAAUAGCGUGCAUCUUUGACGUUAGCUGCAGAAGAAGCACCGGCUAACUCCGUGCCAGCAGCCGCGGUAAUACGGAGGGUGCGAGCGUUAAUCGGAAUUACUGGGCGUAAAGCGCAUGCAGGUGGUUUGUUAAGUCAGAUGUGAAAGCCCGGGGCUCAACCUCGGAAUUGCAUUUGAAACUGGCAGACUAGAGUACUGUAGAGGGGGGUAGAAUUUCAGGUGUAGCGGUGAAAUGCGUAGAGAUCUGAAGGAAUACCAGUGGCGAAGGCGGCCCCCUGGACAGAUACUGACACUCAGAUGCGAAAGCGUGGGGAGCAAACAGGAUUAGAUACCCUGGUAGUCCACGCCGUAAACGAUGUCUACUUGGAGGUUGUGGCUUGAGCCGUGGCUUUCGGAGCUAACGCGUUAAGUAGACCGCCUGGGGGAGUACGGUCGCAAGAUUAAAAACUCAAAUGAAUUGACGGGGGGCCCGCACAAGCGGUGGAGCAUGUGGUUUAAUUCGAUGCCAACGCGAAGAACCUUACCUACUCUUGACAUCCCAGAGAAAUUUUCCAGAGAUGGAUUUA
rnacentral:rRNA from 1 species